ensembl:lncRNA
GGAAAUGAUUGUAUCACAAUACCAGACAGCCAUUGAGAGUGUACUCGUGAGUUUACCAGUCAAAUGAAUGCAAUAAAGAGGUCAAUGGAACACAGACAGUAGGGGAUAGAAUAAGGAUGCAGGAUUGCCGCACAUUCAACAAAUCUGAUAUAACAAAGUAGAUAUUCAUCAAAUCCGUCAUGAUUGAUGUAUUGUAACAGGCCCACAAUAUGGUUACUAAAGUCCAAUUUGGAUAUAUUUGGCUGUUUUUGCUGCAUAACAUUUAGAAGCUGUUCCUUUUCCAGUUUAGAAGAAGUGACUCCUAAAUGCUAACUCCCAUUCGCAUAAGCUGGUAGCAUAGCUAGCAUACAGAAAUCGGUGGUGGUAGUCAAAGUCGUUUUUUAACUGCAAUGCUGUUGAUUGGUGACGAUGUCCCAAAAAAUAUUUGGGGUUAACAUCUAUACAAACAUUAUAUUCAGAUUUUUACCUCAACCUAGUGUGAAAUACACAUAUAAACAAUAGCCUAAAUGCAGGAACAUUUUGCUAGGGGGCAAUGAGGAGAAUUGGGAUCGUUCCCCGACAGCAAAUUUCCCCCACGUGUUUCCAUGGCAUUUCCAUUGUUUGAGUCAAGUUCCAUUGACCUCUUUACUGCAUAAUUUGCCAAGGUUAGAGCUUCCAAGCCCUCUCUAUUCAUUAUAUUUCUAUGGUGCUGCCUGCCUAUCACAGCUUGAAGUUCCAGUGAGAUGGGUUAUUAUGAUGUAAGAGGUAGAGGAAGAGAUGACCUAUGAAAUGAUCUCUGUCUGCAUGCAUUAACAUUGUCAUAUUUUUCAAAGAAACGCACAGGCAAGCCAAGCUCCACCAAAGAAAAUAUUUGCAAGGCCGAAGACCUUAGGGACGUUGUUCUAAAGGUAAUACAAUCAGGCGACCACUAACCCAAAAGAAACCUGGUCUGUACGUAACUGUAGAAGUUUGAAAUGAAUGAUGUUCUGUAGAUACUGUCUCCUACUGCUGAUACUGGUGCACUGAAUCGAUCAGCCAACAACAAUAAAGCAAUGGACUGAUUUCAGUUUUAAAAGAUGUCAAUUUUUUGCACCUAGGGUUUACUAAGGGUUACUUAUUAUAGUCAAUCAUAAAGGUGUCUUAAAAUACGGUUGAAAUAAUUGUAACAUGUUAAAAUUGACUAAAAUGGCCCGUCAUUAUACAAUAAGGCCCUAUGUCAAAUGACUUUUGCAUAAUUGAUAUAGAAGAACAAAAGAACAAUCAGGUAUAACAGUCUUUUUUUAUUCUCCAAGCCAUCAAUGAACAUUCCUCAAUGUUUGCACCACUAUAAAAGGCCAAAACUUUUCAUCCAUUAUUUUUUCAUAUAGUUAAGGAAAGGAUAUGUGAAAGUCUAAAUUAGAUCACUAUUGAAUGCUAAUUCCAAAAAAACAUUUUUAAUAUUCAUCAGCCUCACACACAAAGACAAGACUAUUCAUUCCAUUCAACAUUUCCAAUGUCACGUUUCUUUGCUCUGUUGUCCAGUUUUCCUAUACUCAUCCCUCAAAUUUCACUGGCUUUCAUCUCACCACAAAUGCUGCAAACACAGGCUGCCCCUCUACAAUGACAUGUGGGGCACAAAGACUCAGUGGGGCACACUGCAUCCAUGUCUCACAUCUCUUCCUACAUGUAUCUCACUCCCCCUCUCUACACUUGAGUGGUUGUAUUUCCUUUUGGUUAAUCGGAAACUCGUUUGCCACAACAGACAUUUUUAUAUUUAUCUUCAGAAGCUUGUGUUGGAGGUUUUUUCGGAUCAUUAGGUACAUCACAUUUAUAUUAGCUUCAGACCAAGUCUACAGCCUGACUUAUUGCCUCACCGAUUGCCUCAGGAAUCUGGAUGUCGCCGGGCAGGUUCAAGUUCUUUUUUAAUUCGCAGUAACUUUGCACCUCAACGGCAUCCUCUGGCUUGUCAAUGCCGUUGACACAUUCCUUUUGCUGUGGCUCCGGGGCAGACACGGCAGCCGGCUCGACCGCCUGCUCCUGACACUCCCCAUUGACCUCAGGGGCAGAAGGCUCAGCAGUAGCCUCCACUGAGGAAACAACUUCCUUGUUGUCCAGCACAGCCUCCUCUUGCUCAGCGCUGGCCUCCUCUGCAGCAGCAGGUGCAGCAGAUUCUGAAAUGAUGAUCUCCGGGAUGGGUUCUGCGAUGUCGGCAGCGUCUGGCUCUGCUGCUUCAGUUACUGCAUCAGCAGCUUCAGAUUCAAGCUCUGCUACGGAUUCUUCUACAGGUAGGGGGAGCUCUUCAGCAGCUGGUUGUGGGAUGGAAUCUGCCUCUGGCUCUGCGGCUGCCUCUGUGGCUGACUCUGACACGGCUUCUGCAACUGAUGCAGGCUCCUCCUCCGGGGUGGGUGAAGCUGCUUCUGCCUCUACUGGUGCCUCGACCACAGCAUCAGGUUCUGGGGCCUUCCCUGUAACAGUCUCUGUUUCAGGCUCUGGAGCGGCAGGCUCUGGUUCUGUAGUGUCUGUAAUCUCUGCUGUCACCUCUGUGGCUUGUUCUGUAGCCUCAGAAGCCUUUUCUGGUGCUGCAGCUAGCUCCACAGAGGCUGCCACAGGCUCUUCUGGUGCAGGCUCUUUUGGUGCUGCCUCAGGCUCCUCUGGUGCAGGCUCUUUCGGUGCUGCCGCAGGCUCUUCUGAUGGAGGCUCUUCCACUGCAGGCUCUUUUGGUGCUGCUGCAGGCUCUUCUGGUGCAGGUUCUUUUGGUGCUGUUGCAGGCUCUUCUGGUACAGGCUCUUCUGGUACAGGCUCUUCCACUGCAGGCUCUUUUGGUGCAGCCGCUGGUUCCUUUAGUGCCGCUGGUUCUUCCGGUGCCUCUGUUUUAUCUGUUGCUGCUGCAGGUUCCUCUGGUGCUGCCGCAGGUUCCUCCAGUGAUGCUGCUGGUUCCUCAGCUGCUGCAGGUUCUUCCCGUGCUGCCACUGGCUCUUCUAAGGCUGCAGGUUCUUCUGGUGCUGCAGCUGGUGCUGGGUCCUCUGGUGCUGCAGCUGGUUCUCUUGAAGCCACCGGUUCUUCUGCUGCUGGCGCAGGUUCUUCCGGUGCCGCCCCUGGCUUUUCUGGGGCUGCAGGUUCUUCUGGUGCUGCAGCUGGUGCUGGGUCCUCUGGUGCUGUGGCUGGUUCUUCUGAAGCCACUGGUUCUUCUGCUGCUGGCGCUGGUUCUGCCGGUGCUGCCACGGGUUCAUCUGGUACAGCCGCUGGCUCUGCGGUGGCCCCCUUGGCCACGGCCUCUAUAGCUGACAGUGCCUCUUCUGUCGCUUCUGUGAUGGCUACCACUGUCGACUCCACUGCUCCCUCCACCGCAGCAGACACCUUAGGAGCAGUCUUCGCUGCCAACUCAGCGACCGGAGCUGGUGCUUUGCUCUCCACAACAUGGGUCACGGCCUCAACGGCACUCACAGCAGCCACAGUAAUCUCCUCCUUCUUGUCCUUUGGGUCGCUGACAUCGUACCCCUUCUUCCGCUUGCUCAGCUUGCCUCCCAUGGUGUCUCCUAAAAGUGAAUAAUACAAUCAGAAUGACUUAACAAGUGGGAUAGGUUGUGGCGUUUGAAAAUAUAUGUAUAG